UUGGUAGGGUAAGGGCCUACCAAGCCAAUGAUCGGUAGCCGGCCUGAGAGGGUGAACGGCCACAUUGGAACUGAGAGACGGUCCAAACUCCUACGGGAGGCAGCAGUGGGGAAUAUUGGGCAAUGGGCGGAAGCCUGACCCAGCAACGCCGCGUGAGGGAAGAAGGUUUUCGGAUUGUAAACCUCUGUUCUUGGGGAAGAGGAGGAGACGGUACCCAAGGAGGAAGCCCCGGCUAACUACGUGCCAGCAGCCGCGGUAAUACGUAGGGGGCGAGCGUUGUCCGGAAUGAUUGGGCGUAAAGGGCGCGCAGGCGGCCUGUCAAGUCAGUAGUGGAAGUCCAUUUUUCAAGGAUGGAAGUGCUAUAGAAACUGAUGGGCUUGAGUGCAGGAGAGGUUAUCGGAAUUCCCGGUGUAGCGGUGAAAUGCGUAGAGAUCGGGAGGAACACCAGUGGCGAAGGCGGGUAACUGGACUGCAACUGACGCUGAGGCGCGAAAGUGUGGGGAGCAAACAGGAUUAGAUACCCUGGUAGUCCACACUGUAAACGAUGAAUGCUAGGUGUAGGGGGUAUCGACCCCUUCUGUGCCGAAGUAAACAC
rnacentral:rRNA from 1 species